GGCCUGGUUGGGUGGUCUUGCCGCAAGGUAAGCACUGCUCCGAUCGGGUCUUUCCUUCUGGGGAACCAGCGUGCUCUUAAUUGGGUGCGCUGGGGAUCCAGGACUUUUACCUUGAGAAAAUUAGAGUGUUCAAAGCAGGCCUGCGCCUGAAUACGUUAGCAUGGAAUAAUAGAAUAGGAC
rnacentral:rRNA from 1 species